rnacentral:rRNA from 1 species
UACGUAGGGUCCGAGCGUUGUCCGGAAUUAUUGGGCGUAAAGGGCUCGUAGGCGGUUUGUCGCGUCGGGAGUGAAAACACCGGGCUUAACUCGGUGCUUGCUUUCGAUACGGGCAGACUAGAGGCAUUCAGGGGAGAACGGAAUUCCUGGUGUAGCGGUGAAAUGCGCAGAUAUCAGGAGGAACACCGGUGGCGAAGGCGGUUCUCUGGGAAUGUCCUGACGCUGAGGAGCGAAAGUGUGGGGAGCGAACAGGAUUAGAUACCCCGGUAGUCC